rnacentral:rRNA from 1 species
UACGUAGGGUGCAAGCGUUAAUCGGAAUUACUGGGCGUAAAGCGUGCGCAGGCGGUUAUGUAAGACAGGUGUGAAAUCCCCGGGCUCAACCUGGGAACUGCAUCUGUGACUGCAUAGCUAGAGUACGGUAGAGGGGGAUGGAAUUCCGCGUGUAGCAGUGAAAUGCGUAGAUAUGCGGAAGAACACCGAUGGCGAAGGCAAUCCCCUGGACCUGUACUGACGCUCAUGCACGAAAGCGUGGGGAGCAAACAGG